AGAGGAAGUAAAAGUCGUAACAAGGUUUCCGUAGGUGAACCUGCGGAAGGAUCAUUACCGAACCGUAAACACGAGUUGUUGCUGGUCCUCAAAUGGGGGCAUGUGCACGCUCUGUUCACACAUCCACUCACACCUGUGCACCUUCUGUAGUUCUAUGGCCUGGGGGACCCCGUCUUCCUUCUGUAGUUCUGCGUCUUUACACACACACUGCAAUAAAGUCUUGUGGAAUGUAUGCCGCGUCUAACGCAAUACAAUACAACUUUCAGCAACGGAUCUCUUGGCUCUCGCAUCGAUGAAGAACGCAGCGAAAUGCGAUAAGUAAUGUGAAUUGCAGAAUUCAGUGAAUCAUCGAAUCUUUGAACGCACCUUGCGCCCCUUGGUUAUUCCGAAGGGCAUGCCUGUUUGAGUAUCAUGAACACCUCAACUCUUGUGGUUUCCCCCACAACGAGCUUGGACUGUGGAGGUUUUGUUGGCCCUGUGGUCAGCUCCUCUCAAAUGGAUCAGCUUGCCGGUGUUUGGUGGCAUCAUGGGUGUGAUAACUAUCUGCGCUCGUGGUUGUCUCCAAGUAACCUCCAGUGAUGGGGGUUCGCUGGAGCUUAUAAACGUCUCUCCCCAGUGAAGACAGCAUUUGAACGUUCGAUCUCAAAUCAGGUAGGACUACCCGCUGAACUUAAGCAUAUCAAUAAGCGGAGGAA
rnacentral:rRNA from 1 species